GUGAAUCAUCGAAUUUUUGAACGCAAAUGGCACUCCCUGGUAUUCCGGGGAGUAUGCCUGUUUGAGGGUCGUUAGAAUAAAAAAUCGAUGCUUCGCUCUUUUUUUAACGGUGGAUGCUUCUUAAUUUAGCCGUCAUCUAAAAUAUAAUUUAUAAUAAAGUGGCUUUUAAUUCAUUUAUCCGGUACGAAUGUA
rnacentral:misc_RNA from 1 species